CUUUCACCUGAAAUAGAUCGAGCUGGAUCCUUCCACUGUGCGUGUAUGUGUGUGUGUGUGUGUGUAUGCUUCUCUUGGAGAAAAAGAAAUCAUUACGAAUCGCUCGGAGAAUGCAUUUCCUUCUCGAUCUCGUCCCAAGAUGCGUCGUCGAAGUUACACGAGGAAGCAUCUUGAUUAGAGGUUUCAAAGCGGAGGAGAGGGAGGGGAGGAGAGGGAGACUUCUGUAGAAACCUCAUUCUUCGAGCAAGCCAUCGAACUUUGGAUGAUUCGAAGAGAAAAAAGAAGGAAGGAGAGAGACAGAGAGUCAGAAAUAGGAAUCUCUACUUACUCGCUUUACUGUUCGACGAAGGUGAAGACGAAGGGAUCCCUUUCUAAAAGUUUCCUAUCCCACCACCUUUUCCACAAAUCGUUUUCCUCUCUUCGAUCACUUGGACUCGAGGGGAAAGGAGGGGGGAAAUAUACCGGCGCGAGCGAUAUUUCGUCGUAUUGUCGCGCGUUCGAUCGACGAGGAUCGAUGGAUCGAGGAGGACUGACGGAGCAACCCCGCGACAGUUGUCCUCGCCCUCCUCUUCGUCGUCGUCGUCGGCGGCGUGGUCGGCGCGCUCUCUAACGCGUCGUUAACGGUCGUGGAGGCCACCCCGUACUGAACGGCUCUGUAUCUCUCUCGUAGUCAAGGACCGGCGUCGAAGGUAUGGCUCCGUUGAUAUUGAUUCGGCCCUCGUGACGUCACGCGGCCCCACGGGGGCGCGACCCACCCUCCUGUCUCGCUUCCUCCGCGCAACCUCUCUCCCUCCGCCGCCCACCACCACUCGCUCCUCUCCAACCACCCCUCGCGUGAUCGAAGUCGGGGGGGCGUGGACUCUGGAGCGGAGUCUGGCUCGCGAGCUUGCGCCUCGGACGCCGCGGCUCCCCUUCUGGUCCACGCGUAACCACCUGGACGUCUGAACAGGUAACAAGCCGUGCGGGGGUUUUCCAAGGUGAGUUGGGAUAAUUGUUGUUAUGGUGUGGAAGAGGAAGUGGUUUGGAUGAGAUGCUCGAGAUUUGUAUUCGGGUUUGGUUGGUAGAUUUUGGUUGGUGGUGUGUUUGUAACAACCGGGCAUUUUCUAAUUUUCUCGAAGGGAAGAAUGUGCAAGGUGUUUGUCGAGCUUUGUGAAAGGUUUGUUUAUUUUUUAAAGUAUAGAGAGUAUAAAUGUGGUUUUCUUUUUGCAAAGGUAGAUGAGAUUAAUUAUAAAUCUUUAAUAUUUAUUUUUUUAGUAAGAAUAAUUUUUUCAAUAAUUAUUAUUUAUAGAAUUAGAUAUAUAGAUUUAAGAGAUUUAAAAAUAAAUCGAUUUUUUUAUUUAAUAAUUUUAUUUUUAAUUUCAAUGUAUAUAUUAAUUUUAAGACCUAAUAUAUUAUCAAUUAUUUUAGGAUGAGAUGGAUUGGGUUUAAUUUCUUAUUGUUUAGUUAUUUAUUAUAUAAAAAUAAAAGCUUUUACUUCAGGUAUAGUUACUAUUCUUUUAAAUCGAUUAGGUGAUAUUGGAUUAUUAUUAAUUAUAGGUUUAAUAACAUUGUACGGAAGAUGAAAUUUAAUAUUAUAUAAUAUAAAUGAUUGAAAUUUUUUGAUUUUGAUCCCCUUUUCAAGCUAGAAAAAAUACUCCCUUUUUUACGGAAAAAUUCUUUUUCCCAGAAAUUGAACAACAUGUUUCUUGCUCGCGAAUUUAUUUAUACCGUUGAUGUGCAAAAUAAGCAAGUUAGGCGUCAUUGAUCAGCUGUACGGGUCCUCCAGGUGAGACUGCGCGUACACGUAGGAAGGUAAUGGUCGAGGGACGCGUCAAUGAAGGUGAAGAGGCGUAUGACCUCGUAAACGAAACACUGUAAAACGUUACGUAGAGAUGAUAAUCGUUGUUAUAACGACGAACGAAUUGAUCGAAUUAUUCGGAAUAAAGUGAUUGGGUAGGAAUGAAAUUUCAAACUUUUUUUAUUUUUUUAUUUUUCUUUUUGUUUCUUUCGGUGCAUGACAUUAACUGAAAGCUUCAAAACAUGGAAAAUAAAAUUAAUUAAAGAUUAUCUAUUUUAAACGGCGGAAAAGAUACUUUUUCUGCUAACAAAAGGAAUCAGAAAGUAAACGAAAUUGUCAAGUGAAGCUUGGAAUAUGAAAUAUCAAAAACUUUACAUUGAUUAAUUUAUCUUAAUUAAACGAAAUCACGCGCUUUCUUUCUUCUUUGUUAAAAUUAAACCGCGAAUAAUUAUGCAAAAUUUUAAAAAAUCGACAUGUAUCGAAAAAUAUUCAAAGUACACACACGAUAUUUAAAAUAAGACGAACCAAGCUCAAAUUCUUAAUCUAACAAUAAAUUUUAUAAUAUAUUUCUUAUUUUACAAAAAACGUUCAUAAUUGAUUGUUCCCAAAUUAAUCCCAGAAUACAGAGCAUUAAAAAUAGAAGAUAACGUUCAUCGUACCACGAUUUAUCACAUCCUUCGAUUUCUCGAUCACUCGAACCAACAUAAUCUCUCAUAAAUCUUGGCAACAAUGGAUAAUUUGAAGAAAGAAAAAAAAAUCUAGCUCUAGGGAAGAAACUCUAGGUAACAUAAAUUCAUCGAUAAUUGCAAGGUAAACUCAGUGAAAGAAGUUUCGAAUAGAACCGUUAACCGUAUAAUCAUCGAAUAUGAAUCAUUUCGCGUCGACAAAAUUCAUUCCUCCUCGUCCAAGAGACAAUGCUGAGUGUCGAGAUACAACGAAAAUAAGAAAAAGAAGGAAAAAGUUAUUAAUGGUUGAGCAACGAAUUGCACCAAAGUAUGGGCAUAAUCUGCCUUCAUGGUUCUCUGUGGACGACGACGCAAUGUCGAAGAGCAAAUAUAGCCAGGCUAAACAAAGGUGAAGGCAGAGAACGAAAUCGAAUCUUCCUAUAUCUGUUCCCUGCUUCUGCAUGGUCGAUACCCACUUGACCCACUCUCUUCAAAAUCUCAAAACUGUACCUUUUACAUUACACCCACUCCAUCCCUUAUAUAUUCAUCCCCGAAAACCCGAUUUCAUCGUAGAUGGAACACGUGGAUUGGUUAAAAAGUAUAUAGGAAGCUUGUUCGAAUCGUAUUUCAAAAUAAUAUUUCUGACGAGUUUUGCUUUCGUUAUUAAUUAUGUAAUAAUGAUUCUAAUAUCCGAAUAUUUUGUUAAACGAGAAUUUUGUAAUAUCGAGAAUAAAUGAUAUUUAUUAAUAAAUAUCAAAAUGGAGACAGAUUUUUAACGUAAUCUGAAUAUUCGAAAAUUGUGUUUCCAUUGUCCACCAUUUCUAUUUGCGGCAUAAAAUGUAAUGAUUUUCUUUAUUGUAGUAGAUGGAAAUAGAAUUUAAUUUGAAUUUAAUUAUUGAAAUCGUGUUCCUUUUUUAAAAGAAAUUUUAAAGUUCGAAAUUCAAGUGGAUUCUAUUUCAAAUUUUAUUUCUCAAUGUUGCUUUUUAAUUGUUGAAAUAUAAAAUCAGAAUAUAUAAUAUAACACAAUCCUAUCCAAUUUUCCCAAGCUGUUACUACUUAUAAAUCCAGGAAAAACAAUAUAAAAUAAAAAUCAGUAAACAAAUUAAAAAUUUUAUUUUCACCCAAUCAUAUUUCUAUAAUUUUUCAAAAUAUAUACGUAUUCAUCAAACAUAAUGGAAACCUUAAUUAACCUUUAUUCAACAUCCUUUAUUCACAUAUUCAAUCACCUUUUUAAUAUUUCCUCGAUAUAAAAUUUCUUAUAUCCCUUAAUUUCGCCCUAAUUAAAAAAAAAAAAAAAACAUGAAAUAACGCGGCCCUUUUUAGAGAGGGAGAGGGGGUUGAAGCGAGGGGUCACCUCCUCUGUCAAGUAUCACAUCAAAAAGUCAAGCAGGCCACGUCGCGGGAACUUGGGGAAUUGAAAAUUGCCACGUGUCAGGUGAAGCACCGGACGACAACAACAACAAGGCACGUGCACGUCUCGAAACAUGGUAACUGGAUACGCUGGAACCGGGUUCCACCGUGGUGGAUUCGAGGGGUGAUUCGAGAGUUCGUGGCUCUUGGGCCAUGCACGAUGUCCAUGCACGUAAAAAGGGGUGUUCUGUUUCGAGAUACGAAUCGAAGGUACCCUACGCUUGUAAGGAAGGUUAGGAAGCGUUGUUAAUAAAUUUCGUUCGUUACGGAUCGUUGGGAUUAUUGGAGGAAAAGGAUCGGAAUAAUAGAGGAUUCGAUUUGUUAACAAGAGUAUGGAAGAGAUGAGAUUUUUAAGGAGGAAUUAAAUAAAAAUUUCGACUCGUGGACAUUCUGGCAUCAAUUUUUCGAGUGAUGACUUUGAAGAUCAUCUGGUAACUGUAAUGGCACUUGAGCGUCAACGAAAGUGGCAAUUAGGCAAAUGCAAUGAAAAGCAAAGAUCAAUUUCAUUUUGAAAUUGUAGAACCUCCGAAAAAGAUAAGAAGAAAACAAAAAUUUAAAUUAAAUUAAGAGUAAAUAAAUUUAAUAUUAUUAAAUUUCAUACGAUUGAUUAUAUUUUUGAUGGAUUUACUGGUAUUUUAUUAAUUUUUAUAUUAUAUUUAUAAUUUUUUAUAUUAUACAAUUAUCAGAUUUAAAUUAUAAUUGUGAUAAAAAAAAAUUUUACACUAAUUAAAUAAAUAUACUUUAAUGAUAAUAUAAUUCCUACAUUUUUUUCUAAAUAAAUAAAUUGAUAUUUUGAUAAAUUCAAAAUAAUUCACGAGAAAAUAUUCAUUUUAAAACGAAAUGUUAUAAAUACAUUUUAAAGAUAUUUUCCAAAUUUAUUAAAAAUUUAUAAAACUGUUAUACUAUCUAAAUUAUUCAUAUAUAUUAUAUAUUCUCUAAAUAAUAUUUAAUUUAUCAAAUG